rnacentral:snRNA from 1 species
AUACUUACCUGGCGCGGGGAUACCGUGAUCAAGAAGGCGUGCCUCCAAGACGACGGCCUGUUAUUGCACUCCGUAUGGGCUGACUCCUGCGACUACCCACAAUCGGGUUGGUCGAGCGCAUAAUUUUUUAGGUAGGGGACAAGCGUUCGCCGCUGUCCCCUU